rnacentral:tmRNA from 1 species
GGGGCCGUAAAGGCUUCGACGGGGAUUCUGAUGCAUGAUAAGCGAGUAGUGAGGGCGAAAUCACUUUAAUCGUCGCAACUUAAAUUUAAACGCAGACGACAAUCUCGUUUUAGCGGCUGCCUAAGCGCGCCGCCGUCAUUCCUCGCAGUACCGCGGGCGGGGAUAUGGCGUCGAUCAGCGGUGAACGUCCCUUGCAAAUAGCCUUAUAG